rnacentral:rRNA from 1 species
GGUGACAGGUGGUGGCAUGGUUGUCGUCAGCUCGUGUCGUGAGAUGUUGGGUUAAGUCCGCAACGAGCGCAACCCCUAUUGUUAGUUGCCAUCAUUCAGUUGGGCACUCUAGCGAGACUGCCGGUAAUAAACCGGAGGAAGGUGGGGAUGACGUCAAAUCAUCAUGCCCCUUAUGACCUGGGCUACACACGUGCUACAAUGGUUGGUACAACGAGUUGCGAGUCGGUGACGGCGAGCUAAUCUCUUAAAGCCAAUCUCAGUUCGGAUUGUAGGCUGCAACUCGCCUACAUGAAGUCGGAAUCGCUAGUAAUCGCGGAUCAGCACGCCGCGGUGAAUACGUUCCCGGGCCUU